UAAAACAAUUAGCUAGUUUUAACAUAAUGUGUUUUGUUUUAACUAAAGAUCAGAUAAGCUUUGUCAGACAUGAGUCUAGCUACGGAACCAUUUGGGUGAUCAGUAAUUUUAGUGUUAGUUUUUCUUGCAGGACCAACAACAGCCCAGGAAUGCAGACAGUUUUGUGCUAUUAUGACGUGGCAGGUGACUUAAAAGUGUUUGCCACGUUUUCUGACACGAUUUAACCUUUGAUGAAACUUUUUCGUCCACUUACAGAUCCAACGGCCGAGAUGCAAAUAUUACAUCUCUUAGUAUUGUCUUUUUGUGUCUAGACGUGGCAACCGCGUAAAAGCUGUAGGCGGACGUUGGUUAUUCGAAAUUUCGAAAACAAACAACAAAGAGACCUAGCCAAAAGCCUCUUCUUCUUUAUGAGUAGUGCCGAACUGACGUUCCCCCAACUUGCACAAACCCUAAUCUAGCAUCCAUCAUCACUCCUUUCUCGAUUGAUUGUUAUCACUUUGUUCCUUUUUAUCUCUAUUUUACGAGUUACUUUUUUGCUUUUGGUUCAGUGGAAUUUUAGUUUUUCGAGAAACCCUAGAAUUCCUUCACGUGGUGCGGCCAAACUUUGUAACGAGACGACAAAAUAUCUGCAAAGAGGCGUGCAAAAUGGACAAGAAUGAAGGAGAUGAUUUUCUCAAGGAGCCUCUAUUACAACAUUCUGAUAGUGUUACGGUUACUGUGUAUCAAGAUGAAGUAAAGAAAACAAGGACUAUUAUGUUUAAAAUUGGGAAUGUCAAGUGUGCGUCCUGUGUUACAUCAAUUGAAUCCGCGUUGGGAAUGGUUAAUGGUAUCAGGAGCAUAAUGGUAUCGGUUCUGCAAGGCCAAGCUGUUAUUAAAUAUGCACCAGACCUCAUCAAUGUUAAAUUAAUAAAAGAAGCCAUUGAAAACUUAGGCUUCCAAGUUUUUGAGUUCCCGGAACGGGAUGUAGCCGUAUGCCGGCUCAGAGUUAAAGGUAUGACAUGUACUAGCUGCUCUGAAUCCAUUGAAAAUGCACUGCUAAUGGUUGAUGGAGUGAAGACAGCCGUCGUGGGCUUAUCCCUUGAAGAAGCAAAGAUUCACUUUGAUACCACCCUCACUGAUUCGGACGAACUCAUCCAAGCAAUUGGAGAUGCUGGCUUUGAAGCAGAUCUCAUUACGACUGGGAAUGAUGGUAACAAAGUGCAUUUAUGUCUUGAAGGGAUCACUUCUAAUGAAGAUUUGACUAUUAUUCGGUCCUCUCUUGAAUCAGUACAAGGGGUGAACCAUGUUGACAUGGAUACAGAGGCCAAUAAGGUAACUAUAUUAUAUGACUCGGAGUUCACUGGUCCGAGAUCUCUCAUUCAAUGUAUCCAAGAAGCUGGACAACAGCCUAACUUCUACCAUGUCAGCUUGUAUGUUUCCCCGAGCCGAAGAGAAGCUGAGAGUCAGCAUGAGAUUUUGGGCUAUAGAAACGUAUUUCUUUGGAGCUGCCUAUUUUCAGUUCCCGUGUUUAUCUUCUCCAUGGUACUUCCCAUGGUUCCUCCUUACGGGAACUGGUUAUCUCAUAAGCUUUACAACAUGCUCACAGUUGGGAUGAUUCUAAGAUGGAUUCUCUGCACGCCAGUGCAAUUCAUCGUUGGACGGAGGUUUUACGUUGGGUCCUUUUAUGCACUGAAACGGCGGUCCGCUAAUAUGGAUGUUCUCGUCGCCUUGGGCACAAAUGCUGCUUAUUUUUAUUCGCUGUAUAUUUUAAUAAAAGCAUUAUGUUCUAAUUCAUUUGAAGGUCAAGAUUUCUUUGAGACCAGUGCAAUGUUAAUUACUUUUAUUCUCCUGGGAAAGUAUUUGGAGGUGGUAGCGAAGGGGAAGACAUCUGAUGCAUUAGCUAAGCUUACCGAUCUUGCCCCAGAUACAGCUUUUCUGCUCUCUUUCGACGGAGAUGGCAAUAUUAUCUCAGAGAAUGAGAUUAGCACAUCACUGAUACAGAAGAAUGAUGUGAUCAAGAUAGUUCCUGGAGCAAAAGUUCCUGUUGAUGGGAUUGUUAUAAAGGGUCAGAGUCAUGUGAAUGAGAGCAUGAUUACUGGCGAAGCAAGGCCAAUGGCUAAAAGGCCAGGAGAUAAGGUUACUGGUGGAGCUGUGAACGAAAAUGGAUGCUUGCUAGUUAAGGUCACUCACGUUGGAUCAGAGACUGCAUUGUCCCAAAUAGUUCAGCUGGUGGAAGCUGCUCAGCUUAAUAGAGCGCCUGUUCAGAAACUGGCUGAUCGAGUUUCCAGGGUCUUUGUUCCUGUGGUUGUUGUGGCAGCCGUCCUCACAUGGUUGUGCUGGUUCAUACCCGGAGAAGCUGCUGUUUACCCUAAAGACUGGAUUCCAAAUGCCAUGGACAGCUUUGAGCUGGCGCUGCAAUUUGGUAUUUCAGUAUUGGUAGUUGCCUGUCCAUGUGCUUUGGGACUAGCAACCCCAACAGCUGUCAUGGUUGCCACCGGAAAAGGGGCUUCUCAAGGUGUUCUUAUCAAGGGUGGAAGUGCACUUGAAAAGGCACACAAAGUAAAAAUUGUUGUCUUCGAUAAAACAGGUACUCUGACUGUGGGAAAACCUGUAGUGGUUAACACGAUGGUUUUUUCUGACAUGCCCAUUCAAGAGUUCUGUGAAAUCGCUGCAGCUGCGGAGGUAAACAGCGAGCACCCGAUAGCUAAGGCUGUUGUGCUACAUGCUAAGAAACUCCAUCAGCAGUACGGUUUGAACUCAGAACACAUUACAGAAGCGGAGGACUUUGAGGUGCACCCGGGAUCUGGGGUCAGCGGGAAAGUUGGUGACAAAAUGGUUUUUGUUGGGAAUAAGAGGCUAAUGGCGGCUCGGAAUAUAUUGCUCGGUACUGAAGUUGAGGACUACAUGUUAGAGAGCGAACAGCUUGCUCGCACUUGUGUCUUGGUUGCUGUCGAUGGGAGGGUUGCUGGAGCUUUGGCCGUGACUGAUCCUGUAAAACCGGAAGCCGAGCAAGUAAUAUCAUUCCUUAAAUCAAUGAACAUUACGAGCAUAAUGGUGACUGGUGACAACUGGGCUACAGCAACUGCCAUAGCCAAGGAAGUUGGAAUUGUUAAGGUGUUUGCAGAGACAGAUCCACUUGGAAAAGCUGAUAAGAUUAAGGAGUUACAGUUGAAAGGAUUAGCUGUAGCAAUGGUGGGUGAUGGAAUCAAUGAUUCUCCAGCCUUAGUCGCAGCUGAUGUUGGCAUGGCAAUCGGAGCCGGUACUGAUGUUGCUAUUGAAGCUGCUGACAUAGUUCUUAUCAAGAGCAACUUGGAAGAUGUAAUAACAGCCAUUGAUCUCUCUAGAAAGACACUUGCCAGGAUUAGACUCAACUAUGUGUGGGCCCUUGGCUAUAAUGUACUUGGAAUGCCAAUAGCUGCUGGCAUAUUGUUCCCGUUCACUGGAAUUAGGUUACCACCUUGGCUUGCUGGUGCUUGCAUGGCUGCAUCAUCAAUUAGUGUAGUCUGUUCUUCUCUUCUGUUGCAGUCGUACAAAAAACCAUUGCACAUUGAAGAUACCCGAGGACCUGUUGGAUAUUCUAACUCAGUCUGAGAGAACUUAGCUUACAUCUCUUCCUUCUCAGGCAGUCAAAGAAGCCACUGCUACAAAUUAACACACUAAUUGGGCCACCGUUUUGAAAAGGUAGUUAAAACAAGAAGAGUGGGUAACUAUAAGUAUCCAAGUUACUUGCUAUGUUUCUUCUUUUACAGGACUCAGGAUUGCUCCGGAUUCCAUGCGUAUGUAUCUGGCUGUGGAUACGACUUAACUUACGAGGUCAAUAUUGUGUCAGACCUUUCAUCGGGUAUUUUUCAUGGGGACAAGUAAGGUUCAUUUUUCACUGAUCUGACUGGUUCUGCUUUUGUUACGCUGAUGAUUUGCAAGGAAAUAAAUCAUCAGAAUCAAGUUUUGGAACCAUUGACACCUAAUAAAAUCAAUUUACACCUCACUAGAAAGAUAUACUGCCGAGAUCAUUUUGUAUACUGUUUUACUUUUACAUCACUAAUUUCAAUAAUCAUUCUUAAACAGCUUUCUAAUA